GCUGAGUUGGGUAAGAAAAAUGUUGGAGAAGUCUUUAAUUUAUAGAGUGAAACUAUGGAUUGUAGGUGUUGUAUGUGUA